CUGGCUCAGGAUGAACGCUGGCGGCGUGCCUAACACAUGCAAGUCGAACGGGACUAUCAAGUGAUGUUUCGGACUGAACUUUUAGUUAGUGGCGGACGGGUGAGUAACGCGUGGACAACCUGCCUCUCACUGGGGGAUAGCAGCUGGAAACGGCUGGUAAUACCGCAUGCGUUCAAUGUGCCGCAUGACACAUUGAAGAAAGAUUUAUCGGUGAGAGAUGGGUCCGCGUCUGAUUAGCCAGUUGGCGGGUAACGGCCCACCAAAGCGACGAUCAGUAGCCGGCCUGAGAGGGCGGACGGCCACAUUGGGACUGAGACACGGCCCAGACUCCUACGGGAGGCAGCAGUGGGGGAUAUUGCACAAUGGGCGCAAGCCUGAUGCAGCGACGCCCGCGUGAGUGAAGAAGUAUUUCGGUAUGUAAAGCUCUAUCAGCAGGGAAGAAAGGCCCGCAAGGGAGAUGACGGUACCUGACUAAGAACGCCCCGGCUAACUACGUGCCAGCCGCUGC
rnacentral:rRNA from 1 species